UGGCGAACGGGUGAGUAAUAUAUCGGAACGUAUCCAAUAAUGGGGGAUAACUAAUCGAAAGGUUGGCUAAUACCGCAUACGCCCUACGGGGGAAAGCUAGGGACCUUCGGGCCUGGCGUUAAUGGAGCGGCCGAUAUCUGAUUAGCUAGUUGGUGGGGUAAAGGCCCACCAAGGCGACGAUCAGUAGCUGGUCUGAGAGGACGACCAGCCACACUGGAACUGAGACACGGUCCAGACUCCUACGGGAGGCAGCAGUGGGGAAUUUUGGACAAUGGGCGAAAGCCUGAUCCAGCAAUGCCGCGUGCAGGAAGAAGGCCUUCGGGUUGUAAACUGCUUUUGUACGGAACGAAAAGGUCUGCCUUAAUACGGCGGGCCCAUGACGGUACCGUAAGAAUAAGCACCGGCUAACUACGUGCCAGCAGCCGCGGUAAUACGUAGGGUGCGAGCGUUAAUCGGAAUUACUGGGCGUAAAGCGUGCGCAGGCGGUUAUAUAAGACAGUUGUGAAAUCCCCGGGCUCAACCUGGGAAUUGCAUCUGUG
rnacentral:rRNA from 1 species